rnacentral:rRNA from 1 species
ACGAACGCUGGCGGUGUGCUUAACACAUGCAAGUCGAACGGUAAGGCCCUUUCGGGGGUCCACGAGUGGCGAACGGGUGAGUAACACGUGAGUAACCUGCCCUCAUCUCUGGGAUAACAGUCGGAAACGGUUGCUAAUACUGGAUAUGAGCUUGCAAGGCAUCUUGUGGGUUGGAAAGAUUUUUUUUGGUUGGGGAUGGACUCGCGGCCUAUCAGCUUGUUGGUGAGGUAGUGGCUCACCAAGGCUUCGACGGGUAGCCGGCCUGAGAGGGCGACCGGCCACAUUGGGACUGAGAUACGGCCCAAACUCCUACGGGAGGCAGCAGUGGGGAAUAUUGCACAAUGGACGGAAGUCUGAUGCAGCAACGCCGCGUGCGGGAUGACGGCCUUCGGGUUGUAAACCGCUUUCAAUUGUGACGAAGCUUUUUUGUGACGGUAGCAGUAGAAGAAGCACCGGCUAACUACGUG